rnacentral:rRNA from 1 species
AACGUAGGACACAAGCGUUAUCCGGAGUUACUGGGCGUAAAGGGCGUGUAGGCGGAUCGGUAAGUCUACUCUGAAAGCUCCUGGCUAAACUGGGAGAGGCGAGUGGAGACUGUUCGGUCUAGAGUGAGGAAGAGGAAAGUGGAAUUCCGCGUGUAGCAGUGAAAUGCGUAGAUAUGCGGAGGAACACCGAUGGCGAAGGCAAUCCCCUGGACCUGUACUGACGCUCAUGCACGAAAGCGUGGGGAGCGAACAGG